rnacentral:misc_RNA from 1 species
AAGUCGUAACAAGGUUUCCGUAGGUGAACCUGCGGAAGGAUCAUUAACGAAUAACUAUGGCGUUGGUUGUAGCUGGCUCCUCGGAGCAAUGUGCACGCCCGCCAUUUUUAUCUUUCCACCUGUGCACCGACUGUAGGUCUGGAUACCUCUCGCCUCCGGGCGGAUGCGAGGGUUGCUCGUAAGGGCUUCCCUUGAACUUCCAGGCUCUACGUCUUUUCACACACCCCAAUAGUAUGAUGCAGAAUGUAGUCAAUGGGCUUCUCAGCCUAUAAAACACUAUACAACUUUCAGCAACGGAUCUCUUGGCUCUC